rnacentral:rRNA from 1 species
UACGUAGGGCGCAAGCGUUGUCCGGAAUUAUUGGCGUAAAGAGCUCGUAGGCGGCUUGUCACGUCGGAUGUGAAAGCCCGGGGCUUAACCCCGGGUCUGCAUUCGAUACGGGCAGGCUAGAGUUCGGUAGGGGAGAUCGGAAUUCCUGGUGUAGCGGUGAAAUGCGCAGAUAUCAGGAGGAACACCGGUGGCGAAGGCGGAUCUCUGGGCCGAUACUGACGCUGAGGAGCGAAAGCGUGGGGAGCGAACAGG